GCCCGGAUGGUCUAGUGGUAUGAUUCUCGCUUGUAAGUUAACCAUGUGAACACUCAGUUUGUUCUUCUGAUACUAAUAAAUACUCCCAGUGGGCUCUAUAGUUCCAAUCUGCGAGAGGCCCCGCGUUCGAAUCGCGGUUCGGGCC
rnacentral:tRNA from 1 species